CGUGCACUUGGGGAGGUCCCUCAGCCCGGUUUACAAGAGGAUGCAGGCAAGGCCGAGGGACCCCACAGGUGCAUG
rnacentral:pre_miRNA from 1 species